UGGGAUACAGAAAUUAGGAUAGGGUUUAAGGAAAGGAGGUAAAGACUAAAGGGAAUCCUGAAAUACCUCAACUUCUGAAAAGGGAAACAAAACGACUUUAUUUUUUGUUUGCUUCUUUGGGGUCUUCUGUUCAUUUUUGGGGAAAAAAAGUCUGCCUAUUCCAUGCCAAAUACUUUAUUUUUUAUUUUAUUUUUUUUUCCCAGCUGAAAUGAAUACCCAUGUGUGAGAAGCAACGACGGUGUCUUGUUGUGGAAAGCUUGUGCUCACCGAGGCUGGAAAGACCUUCAAAGAAAAGCUCUGGUGAUCCUGGGCAACUGGGAAUUCUCACGUUGAUGAUAGAUCAAACCAAGACUUCCAAUGUAACUGCUGUACAAAUUGUCAGCCUGACCUCUCUCUGCACCUGUCCUGUUUGGAGGACGACAUUUUCAAAAACAGCCCAACAAUUCAUGCCUACAAGAGCCCUUGGAAGCAAUAAUGGAGCAAUAACCACCCACCUGUUUCUGGACUCACAAACCAGAUCUCCCACGUCUCCAGCUUUUGCUGAUGCCUGACGGCAAACCAAGGUGCUGCAUGCUUGUAUUAGCUGACCCCAAACAUCUGGGAAGGGAAGGCAGCUCGAGGCCUGGGGCUGGCAGCUUGUGUCAGAGCUGGAGGCUGGAAUUCUCUGCCUCUGCAUAUGUGAGUAGGCUGCUCUGGUUCCUGUUAUAUUCCCUUUACCUCCUUACUAGGGAGGUGCAACAUCCUUCUGAGAUGCACAAUUUCUGAAAGUGCUGUUAUAGUAACAGUUGCUAUGGUGGAAAACCACUGUGCCCAGCAUCCCCACCCUUCUGCUGCUAGAAUUCGCCUCCCUGCUACCACAGACGCUGGGAGCUGCAGGCACAGACUUGCCAUGGGCGUGCAGAGCUCCUCUUGUCCCCUGUCUCUACAUUGCACUCUCCUUAGUCUACCUGAUUGCUCUGAUUGCUCCCAGGGGUCACAAUCAAGGGGGUCAACCUGCAAAGUCUGUUCUUCCCACCACAAACCCUUCUGGCAGUGUUGAGGUUGGCUCAGAAACCAGUCCAUGAGAGCUUGGUUUUAAAGAGUGCGGUUUGGAUGGCUGAGAACUCGUGUCUCAUCCUUGUCUAAUGAAAGGGUUUAACUCUUGCUCUGCAUGGUGUGCUAUCAGGCACAUGGGCUAGUGGCAAGCAGGAUAAAAUCAAGUCUGUGAUACGUGGCGUGUAUUCCCACCUGCACCCUGAUGUGCUGGUUCAUGUGCCAUGCUAAUACGAAGCUCUUCAAGCAUGGAUGCAUGGGGCUAGGUAGUGUGCACUGCAUCCCAAACCCGCAUGCAGAAUAAAGCUGCAUUUGCCCUCCAGCUCAGUCAAG
rnacentral:lncRNA from 1 species